CACACAUUUGAUAGAGAGAACGCCGAGAGAGAGAGAGAGAACUAGAGAGAAGAAGGAUUUUGGUGUGAAUCAAGGAGAAAGAAGCUUGAAUUGAAGAUUUUGGACUUUCUAAAGCUUGGUUUUCAAGAUUUCUUCAAGAUUGAGAUUUGAGCUUGGAUUGAAGGGUGGAGGUAGGAGGAGAAGGGAUUGAGCAAGGGUUUGAAGAAUUGACUAAGGUUAUUUGAACUUGGAGAAGUGGUUGCUAGAGUUGUGGUGAGGUUUUUGCUCAAACAAGGUGAUAUAGGUACUAGCACUAGUGCUUCGACUACGGAUCAGCAAGGAGGAGCGUGACGCGGAUGGCCUGGACUUGGGGUGGUUUGUGGUUUUAUUUUGUG